rnacentral:rRNA from 1 species
UACGAAGGGGGCGAGCGUUAUUCGGAAUCACUGGGCGUAAAGCGUGCGUAGGCGGCGAUGAAAGUUAGGAGUGAAAGCCCAGGGCUUAACCUUGGAAUUGCUUUUAAAACUACAUCGCUCGAAUCCCGGAGAGGAUAGCGGAAUUGUCAGUGUAGCAGUGAAAUGCGUAGAUAUUGACAGGAACACCAGUGGCGUAAGCGGCUAUCUGGACGGGUAUUGACGCUGAGGCACGAAAGCGUGGGGAUCAAACAGG